rnacentral:rRNA from 1 species
UUUAUAUUGUGAAACUGCGAAUGGCUCAUUAAAUCAGUUAUGAUCUACGUGACAUAUUCUUUACUACUUGGAUAACCGUGGUAAUUCUAGAGCUAAUACAUGCAAAAAAGCCCUGACUUCGGAAGGGGUGCACUUAUUAGAUAAAGCCAACGCUGGGUAAAACCAGUUUCCCUUGGUGAUUCAUAAUAAUUAAGCGGAUCGCAUGGCCUUGUGCUGGCGACGGUCCACUCGAUUUUCUGCCCUAUCAUGGUUGAGAUUGUAAGAUAGAGGCUUACAAUGCCUACAACGGGUAACGGGGAAUUAGGGUUCGAUUCCGGAGAGGGAGCCUGAGAAACGGCUACCACAUCCAAGGAAGGCAGCAGGCGCGCAAAUUACCCAAUACCGACAUGGUGAGGUAGUGACAAUAAAUAACAAUGCAGGGCCUUUAAGGUCUUGCAAUUGGAAUGAGUACAAUUUAAAUCCCUUAACGAGGAUCAAUUGGAGGGCAAGUCUGGUGCCAGCAGCCGCGGUAAUUCCAGCUCCAAUAGCGUAUAUUAAAGUUGUUGCAGUUAAAACGUCCGUAGUCAAACUUUAGCCUUUAGGCGAGGUGGCCUGGUCUUCAUUGAUCAAGCUCGCUUCUGCCGAGGCUUUUGUAUUUGGUUAUGCUAUGGGUGGCUUCGGUCGCCUAUAGUCUCUAGCCAAAUGAUUACCAUGAGCAAAUCAGAGUGUUUAAAGCAGGCUUUCAAGCUUGAAUGUGUUAGCAUGGAAUAAUGAAAUAUGACUCUAGUCCCUAUUUCGUUGGUUCAGGAACUUGAGUAAUGAUGAAUAGAAACGGUUGGGGGCAUUUGUAUUUGGUCGCUAGAGGUGAAAUUCUUGGAUUGACCGAAGACAAACUACUGCGAAAGCAUUUGACCCAGGACGUUUUCAUUGAUCAAGGUCUAAAGUUAAGGGAUCGAAGACGAUUAGAUACCGUCGUAGUCUUAACCACAAACUAUGCCGACUAGAGAUUGGGCCUGUUUAUUAUGACUGGCUCAGCAUCUUAGCGAAAGUAAAGUUUUUGGGUUCUGGGGGGAGUAUGGGACGCAAGGCUGAAACUUAAAGGAAUUGACGGAAGGGCACCACCAGGAGUGGAGCCUGCGGCUUAAUUUGACUCAACACGGGGAAACUCACCAGGUCCAGACAUAGUAAGGAUUGACAGAUUGAAAGCUCUUUCUAGAUUCUAUGGGUGGUGGUGCAUGGCCGUUCUUAGUUCGUGGAGUGAUUUGUCUGGUUAAUUCCGAUAACGAACGAGACCUUAUUCUGCUAAAUAGGCAGGCCAACUUUUUAGUUGGUGAAUAGAUUUAUCUAUCUGGCUUCUUAGAGA